CAGCAGCCGCGGGAAUACGAAGGGGGCUAGCGUUGCUCGGAAUGACUGGGCGUAAAGGGCGCGUAGGCGGCGAUCAAAGUCAGGCGUGAAAUUCCUGGGCUCAACCUGGGGGCUGCGCUUGAUACUUGGUUGCUUGAGUGGGGGAGAGGGUCGUGGAAUUCCCAGUGUAGAGGUGAAAUUCGUAGAUAUUGGGAAGAACACCGGUGGCGAAGGCGGCGACCUGGUCCAUAACUGACGCUGAGGCGCGAAAGCGUGGGGAGCAAACAGGAUUAGAUACCCGGGUAGUCCCUGUCUCUUAUAC
rnacentral:rRNA from 1 species